rnacentral:rRNA from 1 species
CAGCCAUGCCGCGUGCAGGAAGAAUGCCCUAUGGGUUGUAAACUGCUUUUAUUUGGGAAUAAACCUCUUUACGUGUAGAGAGCUGAAGGUACCAAAUGAAUAAGCACCGGCUAACUCCGUGCCAGCAGCCGCGGUAAUACGGAGGGUGCAAGCGUUAUCCGGAAUCAUUGGGUUUAAAGGGUCCGCAGGCGGAUUUAUAAGUCAGUGGUGAAAUCCUAUCGCUUAACGAUAGAACUGCCAUUGAUACUGUAAGUCUUGAAUUCGGUCGGAGUGGGCGGAAUGUGUAGUGUAGCGGUGAAAUGCAUAGAUAUUACACAGAACACCGAUAGCGAAGGCAGCUCACUAGGCCUGAAUUGACGCUCAGGGACGAAAGCGUGGGGAUCAAACAGGAUUAGAUACCCUGGUAGUCCACGCUGUAAACGAUGAUUACUCGUUUUCGGCGAUAUACAGUCGGAGACUAAGCGAAAGUGAUAAGUAAUCCACCUGGGGAGUACGAUCGCAAGGUUA